rnacentral:rRNA from 1 species
AGGACAAACGCUGGCGGGGUGCAUGAGACAUGCAAGUCGAACGGGGUGCCAUCGGGCUUGCUCGAUGGUUACCUAGUGGCGGACGGCUGAGUAACGCGUAGGUGACCUACCCGGAAGUGGGGAAUAACUGCCCGAAAGGGUGGCUAAUACCGCAUGUGGUCGGCGAUUCGUUUCGCCGUCCAAAGGAGUAAUCCGCUUCCGGCGGGGCCUGCGUCCGAUUAGCUAGUUGGUGGGGUAACGGCUCACCAAGGCGACGACGCGUAGCCGGACUGAGAGGUUGGCCGGCCUCAUUGGGACUGAGACACUGCCCAGACUCCUACGGGGGGCUGCAGUAACGAAUCUUCCGCAAUGCACGCAAGUGUGACGGAGCGACGCCGCGUGUGGGACGAAGCCCGUUCGGGGUGUAAACCACUGUCAGGGUUACCAAGUUCUGAGGAGCCCCAGAGGAAGGCACGGCUAACUCUGUGCCAGCAGCCGC